ensembl:lncRNA
GGAACCACCAGGAGAAAUGUGCUCCUUGGCUCCAGGGCUGCUAAAGAUGCAAGAGGUAAGAGCAAGGCUGGUGCGGCUGCCGGAGGAGGAAGUUCCUGAGGAGGUGGCCAGUGGGAGUGGAGAGAGGGGUGCAUAGAGGUGGACCAGGCUGGGGGCUGACAUGGUUCAAGCCCUGAAUCUGGCCACACUGGACGUCUGGGCACUCAGAGGAUUCGAGUCAGCGUAUCCCCCUCUGGCCUCAGCCGGCCCGUCUGUCCAUCGACCACAGCCGAGAGGACCCAACUCUUGGGGUCGAUGAGAAGGAGAUUUAGACACAGACACACGCGGUGGGGAGGACGGCCCCGUGAAGAUGCAGGCAGAGACUGGAAGGAUGCAGCCAGAAGCCAAAAAACACCUGGGGACACCAGAAGCUGGAAGAGGCAGGAAGGGUGGUCCCCUAGAGACUUUAGAAGGAGCACAGCCCUGCAGACCCCUGGUGCUUCUGGCCUCCAGACUGUAAAGGCAUAAAGCUGCUGCUGUAAGCCCUCGUUUGCAGUAAUUUGGGGGAUUGGCCCCCAGGAACCAGACAGAGCCUGUUACUUGAUCACCACAUGGAGAAAAGAAUGAGAUUUAAAAGAUGCAUCUCUUCCCCUCCACCCCUUCUGCUCAUUAACUUCAGUACCUUCCUGUC